CCUACGGGAGGCAGCAGUGGGGAAUAUUGCACAAUGGAGGGAACUCUGAUGCAGCGACGCCGCGUGAGUGAAGAAGUAAUUCGUUAUGUAAAGCUCUAUCAGCAGGGAAGAAAGUGACGGUACCUGAAAAAGAAGCUCCGGCUAAAUACGUGCCAGCAGCCGCGGUAAUACGUAUGGAGCAAGCGUUAUCCGGAUUUACUGGGUGUAAAGGGAGAGUAGGUGGCAGAGCAAGUCCGAAGUGAAAACCCAAAGCUCAACUAUGGGACUGCUUUUGAAACUGCCGGGCUGGAGUGCAGGAGAGGUAAGCGGAAUUCCUAGUGUAGCGGUGAAAUGCGUAGAUAUUAGGAGGAACACCAGUGGCGAAGGCGGCUUACUGGACUGUAACUGACGUUGAGGCUCGAAAGCGUGGGGAGCAAACAGGAUUAGAUACCCGGGUAGUC
rnacentral:rRNA from 1 species